rnacentral:snoRNA from 1 species
GCACAUGAUGAAUGAAAUUUCUUCACUUUGACCUGAUGUCUGUUGAAGAGACAUAAUGUCUGAGG